UUCCGGGCCUGAAUAAAAUUUUCCAGGAACCGGAGUGAUGGCAGCCAUGGCGUCGUCCGCUCCCGUGGCCGCGAAGCCGGUCGCUCUGCUGCCGGCCCCAGCCUGUCGCUGCGGCGGCGGCCUCAGAUCGGCGCGCCCGGCUCUGUCGACGACGGCGGCGGCGGGGGUUUGCCGGCUCCGAGUCUCCGCCUCCGCCUCGGACGUUCCCGACUUCCUCUCCUCCGACUGGCUAGAAACACGGAAGAAAAAGCCUUUUGGCCCCAGGUUGAAUUUUAAUGCAGAAGAAGCAGUAGAAUACCAACUUGAGGCCUUAAAAUAUAAUGAUCAACCCCGCCAAGAUUAUGGGAUAGAAGUCAUGUACAGAUUUGCAGGCUUUGAUCCUUUUGAGAGGUCAACUUAUUUUGGGCGUCAGUUUGAUCUAGGACAGUUUGAACGUUUCCGGCGGAUAUUUCACCAUUCAACUUACAGGGUGCUGCUUGCGCACAAAGAAAGAAUGAUAUUGAGCAGUUUAUGGGUUGAAGAGAACCUAUAUAAGCAAAGAGUGUGGGUUCGAGGAUCACGUCCAGAGGAAGAAGCCAUAUUUCAAUUUACAAUGGUUCAGAGGGUCGGAGGAUCAUGGGAUGGGUACUGGUUAACUGAGAGUUUAAUCAAUGAUGAUGGAGAUGCUCUCUCAGGCGGGGUUGCUUACUAACGGAUAUGUGUCAUGCACUCGGUUACUAGCGUAUUGGUGUACUGAUGAAUCCAGAAACAUGUAUAGCUUUGUAAAUUGUAAUUAUGCACGGCUGGCCCAGGAUUUUUUUUAUACAUUAUCCGGUUAUAUCAUGCAUACAAAGAGUAGUAGAAUACAUGAGUUGUGGUAGAAUUGACUGCGACAUUCCCAUUCUGGGAGCUUUCGCUAUGUCAAACACGCCGCUAUUGUACAGAAAUUUGGCGGCUGUAUGGUUGUCUAGUAGUAUGAAAUACCGUCAUCUGGAAAGCUUUCAACGAUAGCUCAGUGUGGAUGUUCAGGUCAGAAAAUGGCGUUGUCAGAAGAAACCAAGUCCUACCACCGCACACACAUCCAUGUUUUUAUUUUGUGUACGCUAUGAAUGUUUAUUGCUCCAUCCAAUCAGAGGUCAUAUUGUUAACUGCGCAAGUACCUGACUUGCGAGUUUAUCUUCGAUGUUUCCUGCGGUUAGGAUCACAUUACUGCUGGAGACGAGGGCUGUGGCACCCCUUUGCGAUCAGAAUGUGCAACUUUGAGUUGAAAACAUGAAAGAUAGACCGGAAGGUGGACUGGAUAUGUUGUUUCACACUCACCAGAAAAAGGCCAGGUAACUUGUUGGAAAUGUUUUUAGGUGAUCAUCAUCACCAGGUCAAUAACUUGCUUGCAAGAUGAAAGUAACGUGACAUCGAUAUGUAUAUCUUUUUCGCGCAACCUGACGAUGAGGCGAAGGAAUGCGUCUUGGAUACGGGGCGUACAUCCAUACACGUCUACCCAUGGCGUACAACACCUUCAUAAUUCGUGGGCUCGUGUCGUGGCCACUGCUGCCACGGUGAACGUGUGGCCGCCUCUCCGCCAAAACUGCCGCGUGGAAACUGAACUUCGUUUAGGUCCACUCCAGGUUACCAACGCAGAUUAGGUACAUGCAUGCGACCUCAAUGAUUAUGAAAGAAUUAUAAAAUAUGAUAGGUUGAAUUACAAUGUUAAUAAGCCAUUAAAUAAAUAUGCAA